UCUGGCUAUUGUGGCUACUUGGGGAUGAACCAGCAGGAAGCAGCAGCUGGGAUCAGGGAGGCAGCAGAUUAUCCACCCUCUAUCCAGAAUGGUGGGUGAACAGAUGGGCCUCUCAGCCACGGAACCCUCCUGCUGUCACCCCAGCCGGAAGCACAGGGUCUGCAUUAGCAGGAAGCUCCGGUCAGAAGCCAGAGGCAACGUCCAACCCAGAAACUCUAAUAUGGAGCCUGAGUGUCUGAAUCCACAUCUUCAGUGGUAAGCUACAUCUGCCUCUUGCACUUCGCUGACCAGACUGAACUUGAGCCUAUGUUCACAGGAUGUUGUUUUCAUGUCCAGUUGCCCAUUUCCAGCUAAUUUUUAAAUGCUUUCCUGAAAUGUUUGUGAGAGCUUCCUGGGACAGAAGCUAAAAGGCUAGGCUCUCCCCAGCUGCUUGGUGGACACCUGCUCCAGGGCUUUUGCUGGCUGGCACAGUGGUGUCACUAACCACAGAUGAGCAAGGGCCCAGAGAGGGACAAUGACUCCAGCUGGACAGAGAGCUGGUCUUGGUGGCUGUAUCAGUGGGGGGGACACACACACAGUCCCAGCUCUGUUGAUGGAAUAACUGAAAGGUCUGAGCUUAUCUGACUGUGGGGCCAAUGAGGUAAAAGUGAAACCUGCAGUUCAGGUUGGGUCAGAGCUGCCUUCUGCAUGAAAACCUCCGGCUUUUUCUAUAAGAGUGGGUCAUGCCUCCCAGACCAUGGAAGACCACCAGCUCCUUGACUUCACGAAUCAGGUCGACAGAAUGCGGCCCUCCCUGACCCACGCCAGGGACUGAUUGGCUAACAGGGCGCCAUAGCCCAGGGACCUUGACCUUGAGACUGACCGUCAGUAGUCAUCUGGUUUCUGAGAACACAAAGGCAGGCUUCUCUGCUGAGCAGGCGUCUGGCGGAGCGUGGCACCGGCCAGGGGGUGCUAAGAGAGGGGCCAGCAGGGUUUCUCCACAAUGGAGCUACACACCGCUGGGCAGAUCCUGAAGGUGACCUUGGGAGAGUUGGCAGCUGUGUCCCCACGCGUGCCCACGGGUGUGAGCAGUGGCGCUGCCACCACAGGGGGAUGUUGUGAGGAAGAAGUGAGGGGACGUGGGUCAGGUGAGGAGAACAACACCUGACAGGGAGUAGCCUUGCAGCUGAAUCUUAACUAUUAGUGUCUGUUUCUUUCUUUUUUUUUUUCUCCUCAUUUCCUUGCAAUGCUGCGGCGGCUGAAGGUGCCUGAUCUGUCCACAAGAGGGCACUGCCAACACAGCCUUGAGAGAAUUUUUUUAGGUGAAGACGCUAGAAUUGUAGUUCUUUCUUCUGAACUGGCUUGUGGGACUUCAGAGUUUCUGCUGAGCCUGAAUGUGGGACACAGCCAUUGAUCUCUAAGAGAAUCCUGCUUGCCCCAGCCACCGUAGCUCAGCAGUCUGCUUGAUCCACCGCUGUUCUCUGCAAAUGCGACCAACCCAGGCUAUCCAGUCCUUCAGCUGACCUAGGCCCUGGGGUUUAGUCCCUGGUAGGAGAGCUAAGAGACCGAAAAGCUUCCUUUUGCCUGGAAUCUAAGUGAUCAAAAGAACAGGUAGUGAGGUAGGAGUUAAGAGGACACUUGGGGACACUUCCAUCUCAUAUUGUAGUGUGUGGGUUCAAUUCCCAGCCCUGGCUCCAGGUUUCAGUUUCCUCUCUUCCAGGUAGUAAGUGACAGCCCAAGUAGUAGUAGUAGUAUUGGAUCCCAGCUGCCCAUUGGGAGAGCUGGGUUGAGACUUCGACUUCCAACUUCAUCCUGGCUGGUCGGGGGCUGUUACAGGUGUUAUGGGGAGUGAAAUGGUGGGUGAGCUCCCUCCUCCCCCUCUUCCCUUCUCUCUUGCUGCCUUUCAAAUAAUUAAAAACUGAAACAAAACAGUUCAGGUGAUGAGCAGCAGGAAUUCCCACUGCAAUAGUCCCAAGUGAGAAAACAGAACAAAGAUAGAGUAGAUCAUGAUGAAAGCAGAAAACGCAGUCUAACCAGAAUUCUAUGGUGGGGGAGGGCGUGUGUACCUACAGAGGGACAGAUCUUGUGGUCAUGUAUCUUCUGAAGUGGAACCACACACACACAUACACACACUAUACCUAUGUCAGUUUCCAGGUUCUGAUGUCAGAAUCCUAGAGGUUGGGAGCAGGCGCCCACCUGGGUGGCAUGCCUGGUGCUGCUCCUGACUCCAGCUUCCUACUCAUGCAGACCAUGGGGGUAGCAGGAGAUGGCUUACAUAUGUGAGCAUGCUGGUCGGGCAGAGCAAGGCAUGGUGUGGAGGGCAGCAUUAAGUCAGGAGAGCAGUAAGCACAUCACAGCAGGCAGAAGAUGUUGUCCUAAAGAGAGCAGAAGGAGGUGGCAGAGCUCCCAGGGCAUCCCUCCCUGCCUUGUCUCGAGGUAACAAGUUUGAAUCUCUGAUUUCUUGCUGCUAAAUGGCUUACAGAGAAAAAUUUCCAAAGCACCGUCAUAUUGGAAAUGCUGUGGCAAAAGCAAUGUUGAUGGGGGGUUGGUGGUUUAUGGGACAGUUUUUGCUGUAAGAGAGCCUGCAGAGGUGUGUGUACGGGUGUGAAUGCAUGUAUACAUGUGUGUAUAUACAUGUGUGUGUUCACUCACAAAGCAGCUUAGCACAGGUGUGAGGUGUCCAGAGGACCAGGGUGGGAACAGGAGAGUUUUCUGGAAGUCUCCAUUCACAGUUGUCAGACGUCCUCCCCAUCCUCAUGGCUCUGGACAGCACCCUUCUCUGCUCUCAGGGACCGGAGGUUUCUUGUCUAGAAACCGAACUUGAGAAACUCAACAGGAUUGCAGGGAAGGAAAGUGGGGCAAGUUAGGGGCAAUGCAGAACUCAAAGGGGUUGGGCGCAGAUCUGCACAUUGAGGACUCAGCCUCCAACCUCUUCCUCCCACUCU